rnacentral:lncRNA from 1 species
CAACUUCUGGGCAAGGCAGAGGUGGGUUUGGCUUUUUAAAAAUUUUUUCAGCCUGUCCUCAUGGAACUACAUAUUCUUUUCUAAGAACUUUUCAUCCUAACCUCCCUACUCACAUCUUCUAAGUGUCUCUGCUCUGGUGGGAAUGUGAUGGACAACACAGAGCCAUCUCAGAAGCCUCUGUGGCCACCACCAGGCCGGCCAGGGUGCAGGGGGCCACUCCCUGGGCAGCCAUAGGGUUCUCAGCAAGGUGCAUUCGUCGUCCCUGCUGAGAAUCUGAUGGGGCAGCAUUUUUUUUUUUAAUUAAAUGCAAGCUGAGUCAUUUCAACCUGCAACCUUCAGGUAACAGGAGUUACCCAAGCUCCAGGAAUUAUGAUUGUGGGGUAAACCCAUUCUCUUGUUUUCUUGCGGUUCUAUUUUAUAACGCACUAGAGGAGACAGAGACGUCAUUGCUUCACCCAGGGCAAGAGGACAAAGGAGGAUGCAUGGAAAUACAAACAGCCCUUCUCCUCCAGGCCAUACCGACUGUCCAACUAGCAACAGACUUCACCUGGUUUUGGAGCAAUCUGAAUUUGGAAUAUGCCAGAGAAAACUUCUAUCAGGCAAGAUGGAAGACUCCUAGGAUAGGUCUCUCUCAUGGAGGGAUUGGCACGAUGGUAAGAGUCCAGUGGAUGGAAAAGGCCUCCUCCUUAAAGAUGGUGAUGGAAACGAGCACUGCACAGGGAAACACAAAUCAGGUCCCCUGAAAUCCAGCCCAACCUGGCCAGACCCUCCAGUGCCCAUCAGGGCUUAUGAACAGGGUGCUUCAGUGUCUUUGUUAGGGGUGGUUAAAAAGGAGCACGUGCUUAUAGGGGAUGCUGCUGAGCUCCAUGAUUUUGACUUCCUGUCUAACCUGUUGAUGCUACAAAACUCUUUUAAAAACAGUUACCAUGGGAACUUUUCCCUAGCAAGCAUUCUUCAAGAAACGUUACAGGUGCUGGUGAAUUCAAUGCCCUUGGUGUCAAUAAGCUUUUGCUGAGUCUUAGAAUGUGUGGCUUGAACUGAGAGGACUUUCAAACAGAUAAUGCGAAGUUUCCAAUGCAAAUGUCUUCGGGGUUAAGUGUCAGUGAAGUGCAGUGGAAGGUAGGGGGAUAAAAUGAUCUCAGUGUAUAUGGAGGCCCCACUUAAGCAUUCAAAAAAUUCUAUAUACAGUGUUUUCAAUGUAUUAUGUAUCAGCAAAACAAAAUACCCCAUAGGGCUAUAAUCAGCUCAGGGGGUCACCUCAGCAAGAGAUGCUCUGGCUAUCACUCCUACUACGGGAUUUCCUCUCUCAUCAGAACCAGUAGGUGGUCAAAACCACAAUAAUGCAUAAAUGAAGGCAGGGAAUUGGGUAUCCAAUGUGAGCAACUGAAAAGGUGCCAUGUAUUAGCUAUUUGCCAUUAUGGUUCUGCAAGUGCUCAGAUGACUCAUAAAAUGACCAGAACAA